CUCCCAAACCUUCACACAUAUUUAUAUGAAGCUCCUCCUUAAAGGGACAGUACCUUCUCUUAAAGGUGUAUCAGCUGCUAGGCUCCUCCCCUUUAAGGAGAAUGGAGGCGGGACGGAGCACUCAACUUCACCGUCUGAAAGUUCUGGAUCUACUUCUUCAGAUUCCAACGCACUUAUCAGCUGAUUGGGUCUGAAGGGAACGCCUCUACUCAGACUAUGGCGAGGACACUGAUGGUUACAUUUUAUCAUUUGAAGACAGUGUGUGAGUGUGUGUGUGACUGUGUGUGUGUAAUUAAACAUAUAUAAGCUACGUAAUCUUUAUUUAAAGGAGAUAUUUCAAACUCACCUUGAGCAUUAAUGAUGUCACUUUGGGUUCACCUGUUGAGACACUCAAAAACCUUAUUUAUCUGAUACAGUAAAAUCCCUCAUUUCAGCUGCUGUCUCUUUAAAGCCCCGCCUCUCCACAUGCCCACUUACUCUGAUUGGCCAGGUCUGCAGUCGCAGAGACAUAAUGCUGUCGGGGUGGGCGUGUACUUUAAGGAGCUGUCUGAGUGGGCGUGUCCUUAAUGGAGCUGUCAGAGUGGGCGUGUACUUUAAGGAGUGGGUUAGGCUUCUCUGAACGCUCGUGUCCUCGCGGCACCUUGUUUUUAUUAUCUUAAUGAUUUAUUGACUUUGGGAAGUUCAGGUUCUUGUAAACGUGUUUAAAAGACGGGGGUUAUGGUUAUUCUUAACGGACGCCAUCAGCGUGCAGCGUGUGGAGGUCGACCAAUCACAUGAGCAGAAUGUUUUCUAGAUUAAGUGUCUCGUUCAUCACGACUCGAGAUCAGAAGAAAUUAAAUGUCCUCUUCGGAGACGAUGUUUUAAAAUACUUAACAAACGUAUUUUAACAGGUGUGACGUGUGUAAGAGAAAGGGGCGGGGCCACAGUGUGGUCAUCAUGUACAGAUCUGACUUUGUGUUUAUUAAAAACACGACUGAAUAAUAAA